GACGUAGGGGGCAAGCGUUGUUCGGAAUUAUUGGGCGUAAAGCGCUCGUAGGCGGGACUGGAAGUCCGUGUUGAAAGACCUCGGCUCAACUGAGGGGACCGGCUCGGAUACUCUAGUUCUUGAGGCAAUCAGAGGGUGAUGGAAUUCCCCGGUGUAGCGGUGAAAUGCGUAGAUAUCGGGAGGAACACCAGUGGCGAAGGCGAUCACCUGGGGUUGUUCUGACGCUGAGGAGCGAAAGCUAGGGGAGCAAACGGG
rnacentral:rRNA from 1 species